rnacentral:rRNA from 1 species
CUGGCUCAGAUUGAACGCUGGCGGCAUGCCUUACACAUGCAAG